rnacentral:rRNA from 1 species
UACGGGGGGGGUAAGCGUUGUUCGGAAUUACUGGGCGUAAAGGGCUCGUAGGCGGCCAACUAAGUCGGACGUGAAAUCCCUCAGCUUAACUGGGGAACUGCGUCUGAUACUGGAUGGCUUGGAUUUGGGAGAGGGAUGCGGAAUUCCAGGUGUGGCGGUGAAAUGCGUAGAUAUCUGGAGGAACACCGGUGGCGAAGGCGGCAUCCUGGACCAACAUUGACGCUGAGGAGCGAAAGCCAGGGGAGCAAACGGG